GGGAGCUUGGCUCAGUUGGAAGAGCGCAGGUCUCAUACGCUUGUAUGACCCGGUUAAACGCCUGGCAAUCCUGAGGUCGUGAGUUCGAGCCUCACAGUUCCCA
rnacentral:tRNA from 1 species